rnacentral:ncRNA from 1 species
UUCUUCAGGGCGGGGUGUGAUUCCCCACCGGCGGUAUAGUCCGCGAGCGCAAGCAUGAACCGGUGUAAUUCCGGUACCGACGGUAUUUGUGAAAACAUGAGUCCGGAUGAGAGAAGAA